rnacentral:rRNA from 1 species
GAGUUUGAACCUGGCUCAGGACGAACGCUGGCGGCGUGCCUAAUACAUGCAAGUCGAGCGAGCUUGCCUAGAUGAUUUUAGUGCUUGCACUAAAUGAAACUAGAUACAAGCGAGCGGCGGACGGGUGAGUAACACGUGGGUAACCUGCCCAAGAGACUGGGAUAACACCUGGAAACAGAUGCUAAUACCGGAUAACAACACUAGACGCAUGUCUAGAGUUUGAAAGAUGGUUCUGCUAUCACUCUUGGAUGGACCUGCGGUGCAUUAGCUAGUUGGUAAGGUAACGGCUUACCAAGGCAAUGAUGCAUAGCCGAGUUGAGAGACUGAUCGGCCACAUUGGGACUGAGACACGGCCCAAACUCCUACGGGAGGCAGCAGUAGGGAAUCUUCCACAAUGGACGAAAGUCUGAUGGAGCAACGCCGCGUGAGUGAAGAAGGGUUUCGGCUCGUAAAGCUCUGUUGGUAGUGAAGAAAGAUAGAGGUAGUAACUGGCCUUUAUUUGAC